GAUGAACGCUGGCGGUAUGCUUAACACAUGCAAGUCGAACGGACUCUUCGGAGUUAGUGGCGGACGGGUGAGUAACGCGUGAGAAUCUGGCUUUGGGUUCGGGACAACCACUGGAAACGGUGGCUAAUACCGGAUGUGCCGAGAGGUAAAAGAGAAAUUGCCUGAAGAUGAGCUCGCGUCUGAUUAGCUAGUUGGUGAGGUAAAGGCUCACCAGGGCAGCGAUCAGUAGCUGGUCUGAGAGGAUGACCAGCCACACUGGGACUGAGACACGGCCCAGACUCCUACGGGAGGCAGCAGUGGGGAAUUUUCCGCAAUGGGCGAAAGCCUGACGGAGCAGUACCGCGUGAGGGAAGAAGGCUCUUGGGUUGUAAACCUCUUUUCUUAGGGAAGAACAAAAUGACGGUACCUAAGGAAUCAGCAUCGGCUAACUCCGUG
rnacentral:rRNA from 1 species